CUUGUUUUUCAUUUCUCCCUUUUUCUUCUUUUCCCCCACGGUCCAGGGGUCGCACCAAGGGGGAAACAAAACCGGCAGCAUCCACACUUUGCAGAAAAAAGGAGGGUGAGACUCGGCCAAGCAGAGCCGCGAGCUGAUGUCCUGUGCCCUGGGGGAGUCCUGCCCAGGCCCCCCGGAGUGGGACUCACACACCCCGAUUUGGUAGGCGGCACACAGGUGACGAGAGGGAGGGGCUGCGCAGGCCCAGGCCAGGGCAGCUGUCCCUCACUGCCUGCUGCACAAGCUGGGUCAUCAGCCCGUGGUGUGACCUCAAAGCCACCUCACUCCAGGGGUGUCCCCCAAACCUACCAUCUGAGUGGGGUGUCGGGGGGCUGGGCUUCCUCCCAAGCACAUUUGUCUGCCACGUAAAACCUGCAGACUGUGAGCUCCAGACCUGAGCCACUGGAAGGAAAGGCCACGCUGCUGAUUCAAACUAGCUCUUCCGGCCGCAAGGAAGCAGAUGAGAGAAACACAAACCUGCUUGGACACAGGACCCCUCAGGGCGACCACCAGCGAGAAGGUGGCCGGCAAGAGGGGUCAUUGAAACCUUAGUAUUGGCGGCUGAGUCAUCUCUAUAGGCAGCCUGUCCUUCAAGGGACAAGGAGCCUUGUGAAGGGGGGCCGUGUUCACACGUGCGUCCUCUUCAAAGGCCCCCUGCCUUGCGGCCAAACGGAAGUUCUCCCAGAAGGUAAGGGUGGCCUGGCUCCCGCCUCUGGGUGGAGCCUCUUCCAUGGGAGGGGUGUGGAGGCUCAGCCAGCCUCUCCCAGGAUUCUGCGGGGACCCCGGGGUCCGAUCCCGCAGCUCCUGAUGGCCAUUCCUGCAGGAGAGGGGCCCUGUCUCUAUCCUGUCCUCCCGGCCCAGCCCAGGAGGACACCAGAGGGGUGACACACCAAGGAAGGGUAAUUGGGGAGGCUGGUGGACACCAGCUGCCAGCCUCGUGUCCCCACGGAGCCGGCGGGACCGGCAGUGCCCUCUGGUGGGGCUCUUUCCGGCUGAAAUCCCACAAAGCCCUGUGCGAUCCCACCCGCCUCCCUCACCGCAGGCCACCCAGCGGCUCUGGACCCAGAGGGAAGACCCCGCCCGCCGCCAGCCCUGCCGGGGGCGCAGGGAGGGCCUGGAGUGAGUGGAGCCCCGUCGCACCAGGUGACUCCCACCCACUUCUGGGCCUUGUACUGGGCACUCCUUCUCAUAAGCACCGAGAAGGGGUCUCAGCACUGGUGGGUCAAAGCCAGGAUUUUGGGCCGGACCAAAACCCGAAGAGCAAAUCCGACGUCUCUGAGCCGGGGCCCUGACCCCUGACGCUGUGAGGGCAGAGCUGGUGUCACAGGGGCCAUGACCUGCCCGAGCGGGUCCCUGUGGGGUCUGCCCGAGGUAACGAUUUGGGUGUGAAUGCUCAGAUCACCCGUGCCCCCCACCUGGCACCGCAGAGGGGGUCCUCGACCUGCCUGUGGCGCCCCCGUGAACAGGCAGAGUCCCUCGGGGGCUCAGCCCUGCCCUGGCCUCACGGGCGUCUGCUCUUAGCGGGGUCAAAAGGGCCACCGCUGCUCCUGCCACCUUGGCUGGGCCCGGAGGCCAAUGAGAGCUGGAUGCCGGGGGGACGGCAGCCUCGAAAAGCCACUGACCUGCUGACCCCAGGGACACCGCGGACAGGCAAAGCCUCCCAGUGUGGAGAGGCCCCGAAAUCUUGGCCCAGCCUGUAGAGCGCCCCUGUUCGCAGGCUCCACUCCUGCCCCUCACCCUCCCACCUCCUGCCCCCAUCAGCCCCAAGCUGCCCCACUCCUGGGCCGAUGUGGUUAAAACGCUCGCAGCCCAAAUUCGGCUCAGACCCCGUUUGAUCUGGAGCUGCGUCGGGCGCAGGAGCUCGGAGCCCGCGGCUGCAGGCAGCAGGCUGAGCGGCGACGUUCUGAAGUGAGGUGCUCGCGCUUUCUCUUUCUGUACCUCGUGAAAACGAUCGGGAGAAUAAGCCCAAACCGCCCCAACCAAAGGGCCGCGGUGGCGUCUCUGCCCAGGCGGAGGCGGGAGCCCCGGUCUGCCCACAGGAAGCGGCUCUGCCUAGUGAUGCGAGGCCCUGAGAGGUGUCACACUCGUGACCUUUCCCUGGCCACAGAGGUGGUGACAAACUGCAGAGCUUGCCGGCAGGCACUGUCCCCCACCAGGUGCAGCAGAGUUUCCACCAGGGCUUGGCUGCUGCUGGGGGGUGGGGCUGGGGGGGCCUCCAACCCCAGCUGCGCAACUUUCUCUUUGCUGGACAGAAGCGCAGUCAUGGCAGCAGAAUGCCAGGUCGAGAUGCCCCCCGAGGACCUGGGGCCUCCCCCCGCAGCUCCGUCCCCCUGGGCUGGGGCCUGUGCACCUUCCGGCCCGUGGCCCUGGGGGAGCUGCUCUGAGGCCAGGGCCAUGCCCCCCUCAGACCCCCUCCAAUGUCCCCGUCACUGGACAGUAUGCAGACAUCCUGGGAGAGACUUCCACACAUGCCUCCCAGGGAACCAGAUGCGUUUGAGCCGAGAGAGGCCCAGGUCCCUGCACCGCUUCCUCCCCGCACCCCCCCCCCGCCACCACCCACCCUGCAGGCUGUAGCUCCAGACACCGGUCACUGCCGAGCCUCCUCACUGAGUCCCUGGAAGCUCACGUCUCCCUGACGGGCAGCUACGGGCACAGUCCCAUUUGUAGAUGAGGAAACUGAGGCACAGAGGCGUUAGGUAACUUCCAAUGUUGCAAGAACGGGCAGAGCGGCUGGGUACUGGGUGCCGGUCUGACCCCUUUCAAGUUCUCUGGAGACUAGCCCUAAGCACACCGGCUGGUCUUGCCUUUCUUAUAGCUUCUCUAUUUGACCCUGGCAGCCAAGGGAGACUGAAGUUCCACAGGGUCUUGCUGAGGAGUACAGUGCAGUCGGGGUGCCCUGAACGUCUCCAUGGAUGGGUGGAUGGAUGAUGGAUGGGUCAGAUAUAAGGCAACAUCUGCCAAGAGCUGUAAGGGUGGAAGAACACAUGCGCGCCUCUCCCAGGAAGCCUUCCCUGACUCCACACACCGGAGACGCUCUCACAGCCUCUGCUCCAUCACAGGACAAUCACAGUGCAUUUCGUCCAGCUGGUCCCCAGAGGCAGGCAGAGCGGUGGCCACCAAGGCUCAGGGGACAAACAGGGGGUGCAGGGCUCGACCACCGUCCAGUGGAGGGAGACGGGCCCCAGGCCCUGUAGCUGUGACCUCACGGGCCACCUUUCUGUCCAGCCCUCCGAGCGCAUCGGACGAGGAGCAACUAAGCUCCUGGGCAUGGCGGUGCCGGGAGUCUGAACCCUGCUGUUCCCUCCGGAUUCCCCAGUUCUCCCGGGCUGUCUGUCUCCGGGUGGACCUGCCGUCUCCCUGGGGACCCUCGUCCGCUUCCUCUGGAAGCUGCGGGUGCACCGGGUGAGACCAGCCAGUUGGGGGAUGAUCCCGCGGCUGAGGUCAGACUGGAAUGACGCAUGGAGCCCAUCAAGUUCAGCAGGUCCCUGUCCUUCUGCGAGUUCCAGCCAGUCUGACGAAGUGAAUUAAAGGAGUUAAAGGGGCCUUCCUUGCUUUGAAGACGGCGUUUUCUUCUUUCAGUUCGAUACUGUGAUUUUUGUAAACCUGACGAAACACGGAAGAGAAUAGAAGCAUCUGAAGUAAGUGCCCUCGCGUCCUGACCUGGUGGUCCUGACCCGGUGGUCCUGCUCAGUCCACGGCGCCACAGCUCACGAGCCGGCAGACGCCACGUGGUCGGAACACUCCAGGGCUCCCGCCCCCGUCCACAUCCCACAGUGAGGGCAGUGACCCUGAGAAUGGCGUGUCCCCACGGUGUCACGUGCCCGUCGGAGCCGCCGGCAAGACCGGGUGCGGUGGCGGUGCGGGCCUGCGCGGGCUGGCGUCUUUCGAGGACAAGGUGGCCACUGAGGCGCCUGUGAAGGUGAACCCCCGCUGAGGGGCCCCGGGCCGCAGCAAGUGGUGUUUCUCAGCGUCUCUGCAUCUGUCCUUGGGCAAAUACGUGUCAAUGGUGGGAUUCUCGGGACCCGGCUGGCAGCCGCCCCACUCCGCCCCCCGUGGGGGCUCAGAUGCACCCGAUGCGCCUCCUCAGAGUUUCCAGGGCCCCAAGGCCGAUGGCGGCAGGGCCACGUUGGAAGCCCCUGCUCGGGGUCCCAGGCAAUGCUCCCUUGGACACCGGCCGACGCUGAGAAAGGGGCACUGCGCGUGGCCCAGGCCCCCAGCCUGCUGGGCCGCGGGGAGGGCGGGGCGGGAGGGGAGGCCGUGGCGACCUGCCCCUCAGCGACUGCUUGCCUGGCCCGGGGGCCGCCAUCGCCACCUGGUCACGGCACGAGCGUGACUCUGCCCAGGGCCUCUGGGCCCAUGAGCCCCAUGGGGCCCUCGUGCAACAACCGAAGAAGAGAGAAUCGCCAGCCCCAGAGGUGGGCGGGGAAAUGACCGGAGUCACACAGAAUUUGCAUCCUGGGACGUUCUGGGGACCCAUUCCCUCAGAGGAGGCGAUUCGACUUGUUUGGGGGAAGGGAUAUCAUUGAAUUAAACUAUGUCCAGCACUGCCCGGACCAGCAUGACUCAGGGGGCUGGGAAUCAUUUCACAAACCGGAAGGUCACGGGUUCGAUUCCCGGUCAAGGCACCUGCCUGUGUUGUGUGUCUGGUCCCUGGUCAGGGCACCUACGAGAGGCGACUGAUACGUAGACGUUUCUCUGCCUCGCCUUCUCCCUCCCUCCCCCUCUCUCUAAAUGUAAAUAAGUAAAAGCU